ACAUUGCCGAGCGAAAAGUGCGCUUGGUAUAACAUAGCCUCCGGCAUUAUCGAUUGAUACUGACACAGGGUUAUUCACGCAUGACUAAUUCACAGCUUUGGAGCAUCAGUAAGACCUACCUAUAAAUCGAGCACUGUAAUAGAUUAAAUCUGCUCAAUUAAUAUAGUCGAUUAGACGUUGACGUCUCUCGAGUAAAUCAAGCACUGUCAGAGCGUCACAGACAAUCAAGGACGCUGAUUUUGCGGACCAAGUUAGAUCGUAAGGCAAUAAAGAUGUUAUCGAUAAGGGCGCGUGGCGAAA